CCUACGGGUGGCAGCAGUGGGGAAUAUUGCACAAUGGGGGAAACCCUGAUGCAGCGACGCCGCGUGAAGGAAGAAGUAUUUCGGUAUGUAAACUUCUAUCAGCAGGGAAGAAAAUGACGGUACCUGACUAAGAAGCCCCGGCUAACUACGUGCCAGCAGCCGCGGUAAUACGUAGGGGGCAAGCGUUAUCCGGAUUUACUGGGUGGAAAGGGAGCGUAGGCGGCGAUGCAAGUCAGAAGUGAAAGCCCGGGGCUCAACUCCGGGACUGCUUUUGAAACUGUGUUGCUAGAGUGCAGGAGAGGGAAGUGGAAGUCCUAGUGUAGCGGUGAAAUGCGUAGAUAUUAGGAGGAACACCAGUGGCGAAGGCGGCUUACUGGACUGUAAAUGACGCUGAGGCUCGAAAGCGUGGGGAGCAAACAGGAUUAGAUACCCCUGUAGUC
rnacentral:rRNA from 1 species